AUGAACGCUGGCGGCGUGCCUAAUCCAUGCAAGUCGAGCGAACAGACGAGGAGCUUGCUCCUCUGACGUUAGCGGCGGACGGGUGAGUAACACGUGGAUAACCUACCUAUAAGACUGGGAUAACUUCGGGAAACCGGAGCUAAUACCGGAUAAUAUAUUGAACCGCAUGGUUCAAUAGUGAAAGACGGUUUUGCUGUCACUUAUAGAUGGAUCCGCGCCGCAUUAGCUAGUUGGUAAGGUAACGGCUUACCAAGGCAACGAUGCGUAGCCGACCUGAGAGGGUGAUCGGCCACACUGGAACUGAGACACGGUCCAGACUCCUACGGGAGGCAGCAGUAGGGAAUCUUCCGCAAUGGGCGAAAGCCUGACGGUGCAACGCCGCGUGAGUGAUGAAGGUCUUCGGAUCGUAAAACUCUGUUAUUAGGGAAGAACAAAUGUGUAAGUAACUAUGCACGUCUUGACGGUACCUAAUCAGAAAGCCACGGCUAACUACGU
rnacentral:rRNA from 1 species